AGCAAUGUAAAAACAGCUUUAAGUCACACUAUUACUCAGAAUUACAGUAAACAAGACAUAUUAUAAUUGCAUUACGAAACGACUUUAUCGUCGUAAAGGUCGCGAACGAGCGACUUCCGGUGUUGUCAUGGAAACGGGUUUACGCUGGAUUUAGCGUCAGCUACAGGGACCCAAGAUACACGCACAGAGCAACACAACAUGGCAUUGGGGGGACAAAAAACAUGUAGCUGAAGAAGUUGCAGAUCGCCUAUUACAUCCACACAUCCAGCAUUCAUUGUGUCCAAGAGGGAUGUCUGAUCAUGUGGCUGGUGGUCAUAAACCUUCCACCUCCAUGGGGAAAAGACUUGGAAUGGAGAGUAAGAUGACCUGUCCAGGGUGUACCCCGCCUGGCGCCCGAUGUCAGCUGGGAUUGGCUCCAGC